UACGAGGGGGGCGAGCGUUGUUCGGAAUUAUUGGGCGUAAAGGGUGCGUAGGCGGCCUGACAAGUCUGAUGUGAAAUCCCUGGGCUCAACCCAGGGCCUGCAUCGGAAACUGUCGGGCUUGAGUAUGGGAGAGGUGAGUGGAAUUUCCGGUGUAGCGGUGAAAUGCGUAGAUAUCGGAAGGAACACCUGUGGCGAAAGCGGCUCACUGGACCAUUACUGACGCUGAGGCAUGAAAGCGUGGGGAGCAAACAGG
rnacentral:rRNA from 1 species